CUUCAUUCUGGAAAAAAAAAUGAAGAAGGGUGACGGAGAUUUAAUUAACUUUGUAGUAGGCCUAUUAGUACAAGGGCUGUGGUAGGAAAAAUAACAUGGAUCCAUCCCUGCCUCAAUGUAACGUUCUCUUUUAUGGAACAAAAUGCACUGUUUUUAAGCUGAUACUGUUAGAUGAUUAGUACAAUGAGCUGUAUUGCAUUGUCUUUUUCUUUUCUUUUAGUGAGUCUUAG
rnacentral:misc_RNA from 1 species